rfam:Candidatus Nomurabacteria bacterium RIFCSPHIGHO2_12_FTLL_37_29 rifcsphigho2_12_scaffold_321, whole genome shotgun sequence.
GACCUAACCCUUAUAGCGAUAUGAGAUAUGGUCAAAAGACCCAUGGAAGACACUGAACCCCUCGUUCAGCAACUCUUCCAUGGGCUAUACAGGGAAACUUGUAUAGGGUCGUAAGACCU